ensembl:lncRNA
GUGUUGUCCAGUGUUCCUCAGCCCCUUCUGGACAGGUACAUAAUGGGACACUUCACGUUUCCUCAGUCCCUUCUGGACAGGUACAUAAUGGGACACUUCACGUUUCCUCAGUCCCUUCUAGACAGGUACAUAAUGGGACAGUUCACGUUUCCUCAGCCCCUUCUGGACAGGUACAUAAUGGGACACUUCACGUUUCCUCAGUCCCUUCUGGACAGGUACAUAAUGGGACACUUCACGUUUCCUCAGUCCCUUCUGGACAGGUACAUAAUGGGACACUUCACGUUUCCUCAGCCCCUUCUAGACAGGUACAUAAUGGGACAGUUCACGUUUCCUCAGCCCCUUCUGGACAGGUACAUAAUGGGACACUUCACGUUUCCUCAGUCCCUUCUGGACAGGUACAUAAUGGGACACUUCACGUUUCCUCAGUCCCUUCUGGACAGGUACAUAAUGGGACAGUUCACGUUUCCUCAGCCCCUUCUGGACAGGUACAUAAUGGGACAGUCCACUUUUCAUCACAUCCCCCAUGGAAAGUUACAGUCCACUUUAACCACCAACACCCCUUGCCUCCAUAACGUACAUGGGACAGUCUCACAUUUCUUCUAGAAUAAGACAUGACAGUCAUCCACUCCAGUUCACCCAAUGGGAUUCCAACAGAAUGACUUAUUCUACUGCACAUGUCUAAAGCACUGCCUUUCUGUUUAUGACAUCACACUGAGCUGCUGAUGUACUUAUUGAAUAUGACACAUGUACUUCUAUUUUCUAAUUCACUAUAUUAUGCUUUUAUUGAAACUUGAAGAAUGUUGAAGAUUUCUGAGGGCACUUCAAUAUGCCACUAUUUCAACAACAUAUAAUAAGCCUGUAUAAUUGAGACAUGUUUACCUUCUCGUCGUAUCAAAUGUGACAAUAUGACAGUACAUUGCAGCACUUGUCAGGUCGCCAUUGUAAACAAUGAUUUGUCUCACCUGGAUAAUUAAAUGUUAGAUUAAACAAAUAAUACAUUGUUCCUCGCCGGUUUUGCAAACCAGUUGACAUCUCUAUCCAAACAGUAAAUGUUGAC